rnacentral:rRNA from 1 species
CCGCUCCAAGAACACGCAAACAUGGAUGCAAGUGCAAGGGCAAGCUUUCUCAAGAAGAUACAUGAAGAUACAAGGGCAACGAUCGAGCGUCAAGUACAUCACAUUGUCACCAAGCUCAACAUCAACAAGACACCAAUGGUGUUCCAACCAAGAGAUCUUGUAUGGCUUCAUCUUCGCAAGGACCGCUUCCGCAACGAGCGCAAGUCCAAGCUACUACCACCAGCCGAUGGACUCUUCAAGGUGCUAGCACGCUACAACGACAACGCCUACAAGAUCGACAUCCCACGCUACAAGUACAACGUAAGAGACAAGUGA